rnacentral:rRNA from 1 species
UACGUAGGAGACGAGCGUUGUCCGGAAUUACUGGGCGUAAAGCGCGUGUAGGCGGGCGUGCAAGUCUGCUGUGAAAGCUCCUGGCUUAACCGGGAGUGGUCGGUGGAAACUGCACACCUGGAGGACGGUAGAGGUAGGUAGAAUUCCCGGUGUAGUGGUGAAAUGCGUAGAGAUCGGGAGGAACACCAGUGGCGAAGGCGGUUGCCUGGAGCUUUGCUGACGCUGAGGCGCGAAAGCGUGGGGAGCGAUCCGG